GUUGCCAUUGGUCCUGAGGGCAAGUUGAGGGAUGGCAGCGAGGGGGGCGGAGUCCACGAGGGAAGGCAAUUGGCUAGGCUAAAGCCCACCAAGAGGAGCUGGCCGGCAGGCGGGCUAGCCUGAAGCCGGGAGUCCGCAACCAGUAGCCCGGAGGCGGCUGCGCGAGCUCGGCGGGGCGAGGGGCGCACGGGGCGUUGGCACUGGGACGCGCGCUUGCGUCGCCGACUUGGAUGCAGCGGGGACGCUUCUGCUCCCCGUGCGCUCGACGCGAGCCAUUCAACAGCUGGCCUCGCGGGCUACAAUCGUAGGGAGCGACUGGGAGCUUUGCCGGUCGAGACUGCGGCGACUGGAAAGACGCGGCGGCAGUAGCGGCAACCGGGGUACGCCAGCAGAGACCCAGGUGGAGACGCAGCAGCACCCCAGGAUCCCGGUUUCCUUUGGAUACCAUGACGGUCACGGUGGUGUAUGAUAACUCAGAGGCCACAGAACUGUGUGCAGCUCAGCACCUCUACCUCAAGCCCAUAGCAAAGCUGAUGAUCAAUGUGUUGCUCCCUGAGAGCCCAGAACCCUCGAGACCCGUGUCUAACUGGGAAGUUCUGGACCAGCUGAAGAGCCUGAUUUGUCCUGACCAGUUCACCACUGUGCGGCUCGCCAAGAGCACCAGGGGCUUCAUCCGAUUUGAGGGGGAGGCGGAAACGCGGAGCUUGGUUCAAAUCCUGAAGGCCAAGUUGCACGGGAAGAUCAUCAAGCUAAACGGCUUGGAAACAGACUUAAAAGUCAUGGUGACAGAUGCCCAGGGAGAGUGGGAGCACUUCCCCAAGGAAAAUGGGGCCAUCCCGAUGGGUGAUGGGUCUGAAGAGCAGGACCAUGAUAAGAGUCCAAAUUCCAUAUACUUCGAAGGGCUGCCCUGCAAGUGGUUUGCUCCCAAAGGUUCCAGUGGGGAGAAGCCGUGUGAAGAGAUCCUUCGGGUGGUCUUUGAAAGCUUUGGGAAGAUCAAGAAUGUAGAUAUCCCGAUGCUCGACCCCUACCGAGAGGUUAUAACCAGUGGGAGCUUUGGCGGGUUCAACUUUGGCUUGCAGACGUUCGAGGCAUUUAUACAGUACCAAGAGUCAACUGACUUCUUAAAGGCCAUGGAGUCCCUCCGCGGGAUGAAGCUGAUGCUUAAAGGAGAUGAUGGGAAAGCUCUGGCAUGUAACAUCAAGGUUAUGUUUGAUACAACCAAACACUUCAGCGAAGGAGCUAUAAAGAAGAGAAAUCAAGAAAGGCUGAAAUUACAAGAAUUGGAGGAAGAGAGGAAAAAAGCAAAGAAAAGAGAAGAGGAAGAGGCUGAAAGGUGAGGAGACCAAGUUCAACGAAGAGCAUUGUUGUUGUUGCUUUUGUUGUUUUUUGUCUGUUUUUAAACUUUCG
rnacentral:lncRNA from 1 species